UGAGGAAUAUUGGACAAUGGGCGCAAGCCUGAUCCAGCCAUGCCGCGUGCAGGAAGAAGCAUCUAUGGUGUGUAAACUGCUUUUGUACGGGAAGAAACACUCCUACGUGUAGGAGCUUGACGGUACCGUAAGAAUAAGGAUCGGCUAACUCCGUGCCAGCAGCCGCGGUAAUACGGAGGAUCCAAGCGUUAUCCGGAAUCAUUGGGUUUAAAGGGUCCGUAGGCGGUUUAGUAAGUCAGUGGUGAAAGCCCAUCGCUCAACGAUGGAACGGCCAUUGAUACUGCUAGACUUGAAUUAUUAGGAAGUACCUAGAAUAUGUAGUGUAGCGGUGAAAUGCUUAGCUAUUUCAUGGUAUACCAAUUGCGAAUGAAGGUUACUACUAAUGGAUUGACGCUGAUGGACGAAAGCGUGGUUAGCGAACA
rnacentral:rRNA from 1 species